GAAGCCCAGCUUGCUGGGUGGAUCAGUGGCGAACGGGUGAGUAACACGUGAGCAACCUGCCCCUGACUCUGGGAUAAGCGCUGGAAACGGCGUCUAAUACUGGAUAUGUGACGUGACCGCAUGGUCUGCGUCUGGAAAGAAUUUCGGUUGGGGAUGGGCUCGCGGCCUAUCAGCUUGUUGGUGAGGUAAUGGCUCACCAAGGCGUCGACGGGUAGCCGGCCUGAGAGGGUGACCGGCCACACUGGGACUGAGACACGGCCCAGACUCCUACGGGAGGCAGCAGUGGGGAAUAUUGCACAAUGGGCGCAAGCCUGAUGCAGCAACGCCGCGUGAGGGACGACGGCCUUCGGGUUGUAAACCUCUUUUAGCAGGGAAGAAGCGAAAGUGACGGUACCUGCAGAAAAAGCGCCGGCUAACUACGUGCCAGCAGCCGCGGUAAUACGUAGGGCGCAAGCGUUAUCCGGAAUUAUUGGGCGUAAAGAGCUCGUAGGCGGUUUGUCGCGUCUGCUGUGAAAUCCGGAGGCUCAACCUCCGGCCUGCAGUGGGUACGGGCAGACUAGAGUGCGGUAGGGGAGAUUGGAAUUCCUGGUGUAGCGGUGGAAUGCGCAGAUAUCAGGAGGAACACCGAUGGCGAAGGCAGAUCUCUGGGCCGUAACUGACGCUGAGGAGCGAAAGGGUGGGGAGCAAACAGGCUUAGAUACCCUGGUAGUCCACCCCGUAAACGUUGGGAACUAGUUGUGGGGUCCAUUCCACGGAUUCCGUGACGCAGCUAACGCAUUAAGUUCCCCGCCUGGGGGAGUACGGCCGCAAGGGCUAAAACUCAAAG
rnacentral:rRNA from 1 species